CCGCGGUAAUACGGAGGGGUGCGAGCGUUAAUCGGAAGUUACUGGGCGUAAAGACGCAUGCAGGCGGCCUGUUAAGUCAGAUGUGAAAGCCCGGGGCGUUAACCUCGGAAUUGUCAUUUGUAAACUAGGCAGGCUAGAGUCUUGUAGAGGGGGGGUAGGGAAUUUCAGGUGUAGCGGUGAAAUAGCGUAGAGAUCUGAAGGAAUACCAGUGGCGAAGGCGGCCCCCCUGGACAAAGACUGACGCUCAGAUGCGAAAAGCGUGGGGAGCAAACAGGAUUAGAUACCCCUGGUAG
rnacentral:rRNA from 1 species